rnacentral:rRNA from 1 species
UACGUAGGGGGGCAAGCGUUUGUCCGGAUUUAUUGGGGCGUAAAGAGCGUGUAGGCGGCUCGGUAAGUCCGCUCUGAAAGCCCGGGGCUCAACCCCGGGAGGCGGGCGGAUACUGUCGGGCUAGAGUCCGGAAGAGGCGAGUGGAAUUCCUGGUGUAGCGGUGAAAUGCCGCAGAUAUCAGGAGGAACACCAAUGGCGAAGGCAGCUCGCUGGGACGGUACUGACGCUGAGACGCGAAAGCGUGGGGGAGCAAACAGG